rnacentral:rRNA from 1 species
UGAGCAAUCUGCCCUUCUCUUUGGAAUAAGCGUUAGAAACGACGUCUAAUGCCGAAUACGACCUCCUUUCGCAUGAUCGGAGGUGGAAAGCUCCGGCGGAGAAGGAUGAGCUCGCGGCCUAUCAGCUAGUUGGUGUGGGUAACGGCCCACCAAGGCGACGACGGGUAGCCGGCCUGAGAGGGUGACCGGCCACACUGGGACUGAGACACGGCCCAGACUCCUACGGGAGCAGCAGG